CCCCCGAAGAGCCCCAUUCUCUCAUAGAUGGGGCUUUUGGAAGGUGGCUGGAUCAUGGGGUCCUAUAGCCCAGUGUGCUGCUAGGAGGUGGGGCCUGGCUGGAAGACAAAACCCACAAGGUGUUAUAAAUGACGCAUGUGAAACCACUCGCUGGAGACAGGCUGUUGUGAGGAAAAGAAAAGUUUAUUCCAGUGAGCAGAGACUAAAAUCAGGGACUAAAAUCAGGGAGAGAUUCUGGCUGCUAGCUGCAAAAAGCCGAGUUUGUUACAUCCGUGUGUGGAGGGGCUGACAUUGGGAGUGAGACAGCAGCAGCUAGCUGGGAGAGGUUUCAUCUGUCAGUGGCUGGGCUAACACCAGGAGAGAGAUAUCAGCAGCUGACUGGGAAAGGAAUUAGGCUUAUGUAGGUAUUGAAGGGGCUAAGGAAUCUGGGGUGAAAUGUUUACGAUCGAGUCCAAGGACAGUCAGCACAGGACUCACAGGUCAGCCAUGACACAAGGGGCGUGGCCUGGGAGGCUGCAUUGCCCAACCUGGCUCCUCCCUUCUUGCUCUGCUUCCUGAGAGCCAUGAGGUGAGCAGAUUUCCUCCACCCAGGUGCUUGCUCCAAGCCCCCGGCUAUGCAUGGACUAAAGCUCUUGUGAGCCACAAUGAACUUCUCCUCCUGUAAGUUGUGGGUAUCGGGUAUUUUGUCAAAGAAAGGGCCUAAGACCAUGGCCUUCCCGUGGCUUCCCACCCCUCCUGAGUAUGCUUCGAGCCCCUUUCCCUGGUGGACAAGCCCAGCCUUGUCUCUGGGGUGUAGUCACCCCCCCCCCCCCGUCUUUCUGGGUGCCCCAGGCCAGCUUCCGCUCUUCCUCCCACCUGCACAGCUCUCUCCCCUUCCCCUGGCCUCUGUCCUGUCUCCCUCUGGCCUGGAACACCCUCAGGGCUCCUCCUUCCCCUCAGGGUGCUCCCACAUCGCUGCAUUUUGACUUUCUGCCUUUCUGUAUAACCAUCACCACCCUCUGCUAUCUUCCUUUUCCCUCUUUGUCUGCCCACCUGUCUCUCUCCAGCAGCAUAGCUGCCAGGUGAACACCUGCUUGCCAGUUGGUCACAGUUAAAUCUCAGCCUCUUGGAUGGUGCCUGCUCGGCCUGCAGUGGACACUCUGAGGCUCCUGUCAGGUCACAGCAUCUGGGUCCUCAGUUAGAAGACAGAGGCGCCUUCUCCUGCCUGUUCACCCCCCAGCUGGCUGCAGAUCCACGAGAGAGAUCAGCCCAGCCCGGGAGUCCAGAGGGGCUGUCCGGCCACCUCGGAGUUGGAGCUGACCGUGGUGAGUGAAGGUGCCGGCUGGAACCUCUCCGUGACUGCCAAAGGACAGAUCCCGGCGGAGCGAAGGGAUCGCUGCAUGUCUAGGAAGCACUUAAUCCACACUGCUGAUCGUGCUCCAGAAAGGCUGUGUCCGUCAGCGUCUCUGGGGCAGAAUGUGAGACCACUCAGGGCUCCGUCCUCUCCAACUCUGGGUGUUAUUCUACCAGGUAUCUACCAGUUUGAUAUGUGAAGAAUAGCACAUUGUUUUGGUUUGGUAUGUUUUUAUAGUUAUCAGUUGUUGGUGAGGACUGGCUUCUUAUUUAUUUAUUUAUGUAUGUAUCUUUUUUGAGACUCGCUGUGCAGUUAGUUCAGCCUGGCCUUGAACUCGCAGCCGUCCUCCUGGCUCAGCCUUCUGAGUGCUGGGAUUACAGGCGUGCGCCACUGUACUGGGCGAUUCUUAUCCUUUAAAAACCCCAAAUCAGAGGAAGAAUUCCUGCCUCUUGUGUCCUUGUUUCUCUUUUGGGGACAUGAGAAGCCCAGAAGCCUGAAAGUACUGGCCCGUGGUCUUGACAGCUAGCAAAGCAGCCCCUUCAUUUCUGCGGCAGUUACCGGCCGAUGAUCUCCCUAAUGCGCUCCUUCGGUGCUGCCCCGGUCACCCCGGCUGGAGCUCUGCCUAAUGAUAUUUUUAUAGCCGGGUGCUGUGCGGCCUCAUUAGGCCCCAGUGAAGGCCACGUGUUGUUCUGUGCGCUGAGGACGGUGGGGACUCCGCUCGUCAGCCAGGCGAGUGCGUGGCGGGGCGGCUGUGCCCGAGCAGAGGACUGUGUGUCAGAAGGCGACCAGGAGCUCCCCGGUGCCCUUGCAGCUGAAGGAACCGAAGCCCAGAGAAUGACAGUCCCUGGCUGGGGGACCCACACGCGGCCAGGGGUGGUGCGCUGUGCCAGGAGUGUGUAGACCCCGCGGGGUUUCGAGGCUCAUAGUACAAAGAUAGGAAGAAUGUAUAAUAUUCGUAUUUUUAAAAUAUCCAUUGAUGUUGAAAUUCUAUUCCGGAUGUGUUGGGUUAAACGAACAUAAUAUUAAAAUGAAUCUUGUUUUUUCUUUUUUUUAGGCACUAGAAAAAAUGUAAGGAUGCGUGCAGGUUUUACUGUAUUUCAGCUGGAUGGUGCUGGGCUAAGUCCUCAUAAGGAGUCUUCGGCUGUGGGAGGCUUGUGCGUGUGUGCGUGUACAUAUGAGCAUGUGUUCGUGUGUGUGUAUGUUUAUGUGUGAGAUGAAGUUGUGAAUGUGUCUGUGAGUGCACGUACAUAGAUAGGUAUAUGCGUAUGUGUGCCUGACGUGUGUGUGGGGUGUGUUCCUGAGCGUAUGCGUGAUGUGUGCAUAUGUGAAGGUGUAUGGUGUGGGUGUGUAUGGGCAGACAGCCCUGCUGGGCUACAUGGACCAGAUUCGGAGAGGUCUGAUCCCGUCCUGGGGCGCCGCGGUGCCUGCCGUGUGCCAGGCCUGCUGCACGGGGUCUCCCCACUUCUGCAGGAAGCUCUGUCCCGCCUCACAGGCUCAGAGGGGCUGAGUGAGUCCAGAAGGUCGCACACGCAGAGGCGAAGGGAACAGGAUGUGGUGGGGUCCACGCCACUGUCCCUGCAGGCCAGGCCACCCAGCUGAGAUCUCAGCAGCUGCACCUCCCUGUGCUCACAGGCAGCCAGGACGGGGCAUUGAGAGGGGUGAUGGUAAAAGCGACUCUCUUGGUUGUGGUGGCCUUGGUGCUGGGCCACGGCACAUGCAGCCAGAGCUCACGCUUGGCCACACAGCUCAAGAAAUGAAGAAACGACAAAGUUAUGCUUGGCUUUUUUUUUCAACAUGUGCAAAUAAAAACUUGUAUUUUGUUGUUGUUUCAGUGCUGGGAAUGAACCAAGGGCUUUGCACAUGCAAGGACUUGCUCAGACGAAACACAAGGGGUCUGGAAAGCACAGCCUUGCUGAGUGCCAGGAGGGAAGAAAAUGGUCUUUGAGGACAGGACUCCUGCUUGGCCAUACCAGCUGCAGCCAUGGCAGGGACACCGUGAGCUGCUGCAUGGAUGUGACCUUCUCUGCCUGGGGUGUUGAGUGGUGACCACGUUCACUCACAGAUUUGGGCCAAAAGAGGAGAACAGCUACCUGGCACUGGACACUAGGGUCGGGUGGGCCCCUGAGCCCUCAACUUCAAGUUCCCAGAGAGGUUGGUUGUCCGGGAUGCACAGGAGCUGCUGCUCAUGAGGCUGGGGUUCCUGGGAAAGCCACCGUGUCAUCUUUGCUGCUAAACCCCAAGGUGUGGUCAAGGCUGGCACAUAGUUAAGGGAAGAACUGAAGUCAGAAUGUGCAUGACAAACUAAUCAGGCCCACUGAACUGGAAUCUAUGGUGUCAGGUGUAGCUGCAACUUCGUGUUUCACCGUCACCUGGAGGCUUGGACCAAGGGGAGCCUGUACCUCUGGGAUUCACCGUGCCCACUGCUCCUGCUAGGAGGACAAAGGCAGAAAGGCCCGGGAACAACAAACAGGAGCUCAGAUGGCCGGGGCUUUGCCUUUUCCGCUACCUUGAUCCUGGCUUGGUGUCCACAAGUUCUCACUCUCCAAGACCGGGAGGAUGCCAGGAACGGCCCUCAGUCCCGAGAACUCUGCCUGGGGUGCUGUGCCGUUGAAGGAGGCAUUCUCGAACUCAGUAGAUUCUAUCCUGCUGGAACAGCGGUCAGCAAACUGUGAUCCAAAGACUAAGCUCAGCCUGUCACUGGCUCUGUAAAUUUUAUCUGUCUCAGUACAUGUUUGCAGUACGUGAUGAUACUCAUCGUGGACUGUUGGCGUAUGUGUAUAACACAGCUGAAUUCUUUCUCAAUCCGCUUUUCCUUUCUUCCUUCCCUCCUCCAUUUCUCGAUCCCCUUCCCAUUCACAAAAUAUUUAUCUCCCCAUUUCCUAUCAUCUGUCUCUUAUUUUGCUCUUUA